rnacentral:rRNA from 2 species
UGGGGAAUAUUGCACAAUGGGGGAAACCCUGAUGCAGCGACGCCGCGUGGAGGAAGAAGGUCUUCGGAUUGUAAACUCCUGUUGUUGAGGAAGAUAAUGACGGUACUCAACAAGGAAGUGACGGCUAACUACGUGCCAGCAGCCGCGGUAAAACGUAGGUCACAAGCGUUGUCCGGAAUUACUGGGUGUAAAGGGAGCGCAGGCGGGAAGACAAGUUGGAAGUGAAAUCCAUGGGCUCAACCCAUGAACUGCUUUCAAAACUGUUUUUCUUGAGUAGUGCAGAGGUAGGCGGAAUUCCCGGUGUAGCGGUGGAAUGCGUAGAUAUCGGGAGGAACACCAGUGGCGAAGGCGGCCUACUGGGCACCAACUGACGCUGAGGCUCGAAAGUGUGGGUAGCAAACAGGAUUAGAUACCCUGGUAGUCCACACUGUAAACGAUGAUUACUAGGUGUUGGAGGAUUGACCCCUUCAGUGCCGCAGUUAACACAAUAAGUAAUCCACCUGGGGAGUACGACCGCAAGGUUGAAACUCAAAGGAAUUGACGGGGGCCCGCACAAGCAGUGGAGUAUGUGGUUUAAUUCGACGCAACGCGAAGAACCUUACCAAGUCUUGACAUCCUGCGACGCACAUAGAAAUAUGUGUUUCCUUCGGGACGCAGAGACAGGUGGUGCAUGGUUGUCGUCAGCUCGUGUCGUGAGAUGUUGGGUUAAGUCCCGCAACGAGCGCAACCCUUAUGGUCAGUUACUACGCAAGAGGACUCUGGCCAGACUGCCGUUGACAAAACGGAGGAAGGUGGGGAUGACGUCAAAUCAUCAUGCCCUUUAUGACUUGGGCUACACACGUACUACAAUGGCGUUAAACAAAGAGAAGCAAGACCGCGAGGUGGAGCAAAACUCAGAAACAACGUCCCAGUUCGGACUGCAGGCUGCAACUCGCCUGCACGAAGUCGGAAUUGCUAGUAAUCGCAGAUCAGCAUGCUGCGGUGAAUACGUUCCC